rnacentral:RNase_P_RNA from 1 species
CCGACGGAAAGUGGCACAGAAAACAGACCGCCGGCGGCAGAUCUCCGGGGCUGCGCGUCGGCAAGGGUGAAAAGGUGGGGUAAGAGCCCACCAGCGUCGUGGUGACACGGCGGCUCGCCAAACCCCGUCCGGUGCAAGGCGAAACAGGCUCCGGUGAGGUGGCCCGCUGAGGAGCCGGGUACGCCGCUAGAGCCGCCGGGAAACCGACGGCUGAGAGAGAUGAUCACCCUCGACAGAAUCCGGCUUACAGGCCUGCUAACGGA